rnacentral:rRNA from 1 species
UUGCAUGCUGGCGGCAGGCCUAACACAUGCAAGUCGAGCGGAUGAAGGGAGCUUGCUCCUGGAUUCAGCGGCGGACGGGUGAGUAAUGCCUAGGAAUCUGCCUGGUAGUGGGGGAUAACGUCCGGAAACGGGCGCUAAUACCGCAUACGUCCUGAGGGAGAAAGUGGGGGAUCUUCGGACCUCACGCUAUCAGAUGAGCCUAGGUCGGAUUAGCUAGUUGGUGGGGUAAAGGCCUACCAAGGCGACGAUCCGUAACUGGUCUGAGAGGAUGAUCAGUCACACUGGAACUGAGACACGGUCCAGACUCCUACGGGAGGCAGCAGUGGGGAAUAUUGGACAAUGGGCGAAAGCCUGAUCCAGCCAUGCCGCGUGUGUGAAGAAGGUCUUCGGAUUGUAAAGCACUUUAAGUUGGGAGGAAGGGCAGUAAGUUAAUACCUUGCUGUUUUGACGUUACCAACAGAAUAAGCACCGGCUAACUUCGUG